CAGGCGAGGGUGUUGUUGCAGUUGCAACUGGGCUGCUGUGGACUGUUGUCGAUUCCUCACUACGGCCCAAGGUUGUGGAGCGGGCAGGCGAGGGUGUUGUUGCAGUUGCAACUGGGCUGCUGUGGACUGUUGUCGAUUCCUCACUACGGCCCAAGGUUGUGGAGCUGGCAGAAAAGUGGGUUGUUGGAGUUGAGCUCGGGCUGCCGUGGGAGGUUGUAGAUAGCUCAACAAAGGCUGAUGUGGUAGUAGGAGGUGCAGGGGUAGUGUCCUUCGAGUUAGGCCAGCUCUGGAAGGUGGUAGAUUCUCCCUGACGGGUUGUAGAGCCGGCAGGGGACAGUGUUGUGUGUGGCGAUCCAGUGCUGCUGUGGACGGGCGUAGAUGCUUCAAGGAGGCCUGAGGCUGUGGUGUUGUCAGGUAAGAGUGUUGUUUCAGUGGAGCCUGGGCCGCUGUGGAAGGUAGUAGAUUCUGGACCAAGGGAUGAUGCUGUGGUACUGCCAGGGGACAGUGUUGUGUCUGUG
rnacentral:lncRNA from 1 species